GCCGCCGCGGUAACACCGGCGGCCCGAGUGGUGAUCGUGAUUAUUGGGUCUAAAGGGUCCGUUGCCGGUUGGUCAGUCCUCCGGGAAAUCUGAUAGCUCAACAUUAGGCUUUCGGGGGAUACUGCCAGACUUGGAACCGGGAGAGGUAAGAGGUACUACAGGGGUAGGAGUGAAAUCUUGUAAUCCCUGUGGGACCACCUGUGGCGAAGGCGUCUUACCAGAACGGGUUCGACGGUGAGGGACGAAAGCUGGGGGCACGAACCGGAUUAGAUACCCGGGUAGUCCCAGCCGUAACGAUGCUCGCUAGGUGUCAGGCAUGGCGCGACCGUGUCUGGUGCCGCAGGGAAGCCGUGAAGCGAGCCACCUGGGAAGUACGGCCGCAAGGCUGAAACUUAAAGGAAUUGGCGGGGGAGCACAACAACGGGUGGAGCCUGCGGUUUAAUUGGACUCAACGCCGGACAACUCACCGGGGGCGACAGCAAUAUGUAGGCCAAGCUGAAGACUUUGCCUGAAUCGCUGAGAAGAGGUGCAUGG
rnacentral:rRNA from 1 species